ensembl:lncRNA
CAUUAUUUUAAACAAUAUUAUAUUAAAAGUAAUUAGAAAAAUAUUUCAGUUAAAAAAAAAAUAUAUAUCCUAUUUUCCCCUCUUAUGGUAAGACAUGGCAGGCCAAAUCAAUGGUCAUAACAGGCCAACUUUGACCCCAAAAUUAGGAAAAAUUUGCCAUUCACAAUGUAUUACACUUCCAUAAUUUCACAUAUCUGUGAGAAGAAAUGUAGAGUAGAAACUAAUUUAUCCAUCAGUAAUUGAUUGGAUCUUGAAAAGUGGGCGUUACCAUAAUGGAGCCAGACUGAGUAUGAUUAACUAAAAGUAAACUAUAACAGCUGUUAGAUAAUAUUAUCCAAUAGCCUGUAAGGGAUUCAGUAAUGUCAGCAGAAAAUAAAAAUAAAAAGUCAUUACAGAGGAAGAUCACAGCAUUUAAAAUUGGAUUACAGAUUAUGAACAGAAGCAUUUUUUUCCCCUUAGGAAUACUGUGGAACAAAUAUUAAUAAUUUACAAUGGAGUCUGCUUGUCUUUGAAAUCUUUAAUCCAACUGUAAGAACUUGAUCUUCUUCUAAAAUCACUUUUCUUCUUGUUACAUCCCUAUGUGACAUUAGGAGGUGUUUGUUUCCGUGCUGUUUUUCUGCCGCUCUCUGUUUUACUUUUGUUUUUGCAGGGCGUGCUGAUUGGUACAUGCCACUGUCAAUCAUCGUCAAGGGCUGAGUCCAGUGUGCUGAUGUCAGGAGGCGAUUUGCCAAUGAUUUGUUGCUGGAAUCCCGAGAACUUUUAAAGAAGGCAGGUCUACAUUCAUAAGGAGGCUUGCCACCAUGCCACUCUGUUAAUGCAUUGUGUUUAUUCUGCUUUCUUUGUUUUGGGUUACCAGGGGGUUUAUUUUUCGUUGUUACUGCAGUCACUUUUAACAACCUUAACUCUUUCCCUUCCUUCAUUUGUGAUUAUUAACGUUGUGUUAGCGAUCGCUGCUGACAUCGUGAGACAGAAAACACCCUAAAGUCCAAACCCAGCUGACACGAAUCAUAAACGCACCGAUGACAGAUUGAUGUUGGCAGCAGCUUUCCCCCUCCGGACUUCAUGCACUGCACAGCUAACUUAAUACAGCUGCUAGCCAUGUCCACCACACAUCUGCUAACAGUCUGAUACAAACCUACUCACAUCUAUCGCAUUCUUCAGCGGCGCAUCUUCAGAGAGCUGAGCUUACGAGCAGCUGAACGGUCAUCUAUAAGAGCAUUCCGUGAAAUAACAUCUCAUCCACUGUAGCUAGCAGCAAAUCUAGCCGGACUUACUGUAUGCUGGUGUCGCUUCUACGAAGUUCCGGGCGGAAACAGCGGAACCUUCUGCUGACGGUCAACACUCACUGCCAGUUCAAUGUCUGUGUUUACAAGUGUUAAUUAUUGUAAUUGUUACAAAUAUCAUAUUUAUUCAGUUACAUCGCUAUUGAUAAAUCUUAUACAUUUCUACAAUUGAAACGUGUGACAAUAUGUGACAACUUGUGGAAAUUAACUUUCAACUUGUCCCAUGUGAUAUUUAUGGAAAAUACCUGGUAGGCAAUCCUUCACUGACUCGUCUGUGAAUGUUUCUUAGUCUAUUGUAUUAAAAAUUAAAAUAGCAUGAUGAUAUUAGAUGGCUGUGGUGUAGUGGUGCCGAGAAGUGGGUACUUAAUUUAUGCCCCCAACCCAGCAAAUUAUAUGUUAUAAACAGUGGCAUGUAAAACUAGUCUUGUUCAUUUAGUUCACCCCAAACCAGCAGAAUUUGCACACUGUCACUUAAUUUCUGCUGCUUGAAUCCUUAUUAAAUUAUUAGCCACAGAAGAGGUACAGAUUUAAAGUAAUUAAUUCAAAUAAACAAUCAAAUAAAUAAAGACUGCA